AGAGUUUGACCAUGGCUCAGGACGAACGCUGGCGGCGUGCCUCAAACAUGCAAGUCGAGGGAGGGUUGCUCGGGGGCUUGCCCCCGGGUUCAACUCUACCGGCGAACGGGUGAGUAACACGUGGGUAACCUGCCCUGUAGACGGGGAUAACCUCGGGAAACCGGGGCUAAUACCCGAUACCCUCACCGGAGGGCAUCCUCUGGUGAGGAAAGGUCCGCAAGGUCCGCUUCAGGAUGGGCCCGCGGCGUAUCAGCUCGUUGGUGAGGUAACGGCUCACCAAGGCGAUGACGCGUAGCUGGCCUGAGAGGGUGGUCAGCCACACUGGGACUGAGACACGGCCCAGACUCCUACGGGAGGCAGCAGUCGGGAAUCUUGGGCAAUGGGCGCAAGCCUGACCCAGCAACGCCGCGUGGAGGAUGAAGUCCUUCGGGAUGUAAACUCCGAAAGAAGGGGACGAAUAAGCACGGGCUAAUACCCCGUGCGAUGACGGUACCCUUUGUAAGCCCCGGCUAACUACGUGCCAGCAGCCGCGGUAAUACGUAGGGGGCAAGCGUUGCCCGGAUUUACUGGGCGUAAAGCGGGUGUAGGCGGCCGGGUAAGUCCCGUGUGAAAGCCCACGGCUCAACCGUGGGACGUCGCGGGAAACUGCUCGGCUUGAGGGCAGCAGAGGGUGGUGGAAUUCCCGGUGUAGCGGUGAAAUGCGUAGAGAUCGGGAGGAACGCCAGUGGCGAAGGCGGCCACCUGGGCUGUCCCUGACGCUCAGACCCGAAAGCUGGGGGAGCGAACGGGAUUAGAUACCCUGGUAGUCAAGGGCG
rnacentral:rRNA from 1 species